rnacentral:rRNA from 1 species
UGGGGAAUUUUGGACAAUGGGCGCAAGCCUGAUCCAGCAAUGCCGCGUGCAGGAUGAAGGCCUUCGGGUUGUAAACUGCUUUUGUACGGAACGAAAAAGCUCUCUCUAAUACAGGGGGUGAAUGACGGUACCGUAAGAAUAAGCACCGGCUAACUACGUGCCAGCAGCCGCGGUAAUACGUAGGGUGCAAGCGUUAAUCGGAAUUACUGGGCGUAAAGCGUGCGCAGGCGGUUUUGUAAGACAGAGGUGAAAUCCCCGGGCUCAACCUGGGAACUGUCUUUGUGAGUGCAAAUCUGGAGUGCGGCAGAGGGGGAUGGAAUUCCGCGUGUAGCAGUGAAAGGCGUAGAUAUGCGGAGGAACACCGAUGGCGAAGGCAAUCCCCUGGGCCUGCACUGACGCUCAUGCACGAAAGCGUGGGGAGCAAACA